GUCCCCAACCCUGCUAACAAAACCGGCUUCUAACAACGUCCGUCUUCAGACUACUGCACGUCUUUCGUCGUCUUUGGAGUUUGGAGAUGCACCACGCUCUCUCCGGGAAAAAACCUCUUGCACCCAAAUGGUCAAGAAAUUCAUGGGAAUUUACAGAUAUUUUUUCGCCCAAAAUUUAUUUCCGUGGGUGGGAGACAAAGCCUUUCAAAUGAUCACUUUGCAUAUUCGUGACAUGCAAAGGAAUAACUUGACGACAUAUUUUUUUCAAAGAUGGAAAAAAUUUAAAACUGUUUCACGUCACGCAACUUUUUAUUCGUUUGGAUUGAUUGGCAUUUCAGCAUUUUUUUUCCACCUGCAACGCAAUUACACAAAUUUUUAAGCCUUCUUAACCAUCAUUAUGUUACACGCACGUCUAAAACUGCACCUAUCUCACUCAAGAAGAUGAACAUGUAAAAAUUCAGAAAAAUAAAAUACGCCAUGCUUACUGUGGACGAAAAUAAUUCGAGUGUGACGAUGGGUGUGGUGUGGUCAUGCUAUCUCAUUUCCAGGCUACCUCCCAAUUCCAUGAUAUUUCAUCACGUCUCAAAUUACCAGUUUUCCAUUACGAUACAAUUAUAGUGAUGGCCAUUUUUAUAUAACUAACAUAAUAAUGGAAACGCACAAUUAUACUUUUCAAGAAAACUUAUAAAAUAUAUAACGAAGUGAGAUUCAUUAUGGAGCGUUGGUUGCAUAAGGUCUCAUCAAGAAAUAUUUCUCCCAAAUCCACUCUGACCAACAUUGUGCCAAUCAUGCACGUAAACCCUUUUUCUUUCUUACCAUAACUUUGUAUGUACAUGUAUAACAAUAAUCAGUUUGUAGACACUUACCACUUUGGUGUGCUUAUGUACGAACAUUUGUAGAAUUGGCUUAUUUAAAAUGAGCAUUUUUCCAUUUCCUUUCGUCCAGCAGAAGCAGCAGCAGGUUGUUGGGCUGAUGGAAAGCAUCCCUCGGCUCCAAUUUGGCUCUCUUGUUCGAGAUGGGAAUUGAAAUUUAUUUUUAAUGUUUCGAGAGGGGCUGUCCAUCACGCGGAAAGCUCUAAUUAUCUGGGCAUGGCUUAUAAUCGAAUUUUUAAAAUACUUUGUUCUCUCUUUAACCGUUUAGCUGCCCAUUUUUGUCUCACUUUUUGGUUAAAAAUAGGAAAAAGUCGGUAAAAAUCAGCCCAUUCAACUUCACCCAUGAAAUUUAAUGAACAAUGGAUACCCUGAGAAAAAUGGGUGGACAAAUGAUGGACGGAAAUGUAUCCUUUUGACGCGUGUCAAUUUCUUGACCAAACCACAAUAGCAAAAGGAUAUACAUAAGUUUAGAAUGACAGAUAACUGUUGAAACAAUCCAAUAAUUUGACUUUGUCACAUUUCACUCUAAUUUGUAAAUAUGGUCAGGCAAUCCAUCCCUUAAAAGUUAUCAGAUAAGCUCCACAAAUUAAUUUUUUACCAUAAACAUUUGCAAAAAAUCGCAAUCACAAUCUACAGUAGUUUUUUUCUAUUUUUAAAUUUAAAUUUGGAUGCCGAAUUUUAAAUCAAAAUUAUCUACCAUACAGUGCUUACGCAUGCACUUUGCAAGUGUUUUCAUAUGACAUACUUGUUAAUUUAUUCUAAACUAUACAUUCUACACAUGCAUUAAUUUCUAUAGCCAAAGACCCAUAAUAAAUACAUAUCAACAUUGAGACAAA